AAGUUCUCAUUAUAUUUUGGAUAUUAAAGCCUUAUCAGAUGUAUGGUUUGCAAAUAUUUUCUCCCAUUCCAGAGGUUGUCUCUUCACCCUAUUGAUGGUUCCCUUU